rnacentral:tRNA from 1 species
GUCUCCGUGGCGCAAUUGGUUAGCGCGUUCGACUGUUACGCAGUGACAUCGAGAGGUUGACAGUUCAAUCCUGUCCGGGGACG